CGCGGCCUAUCAGCUUGUUGGUGAGGUAACGGCUCACCAAGGCAGCGACGGGUAGCUGGUCUGAGAGGACGAUCAGCCACACUGGGACUGAGACACGGCCCAGACUCCUACGGGAGGCAGCAGCAGGGAAUAUUGCACAAUGGGCGAAAGCCUGAUGCAGCGACGCCGCGUGAGGGAUGAAGGCCCUCGGGCUGUAAACCUCUUUCAGGAGGGACGAAGCGAAAGUGACGGUACCUCCAGAAGAAGCCCCGGCCAACUACGUGCCAGCAGCCGCGGUAAUACGUAGGGGGCGAACGUUGUCCGGAUUUAUUGGGCGUAAAGAGCUCGUAGGCGGCUCAGCAAGUCGGCCGUGAAAGCCUGAGGCUCAACCUCAGGAGGCCGGUCGAAACUGCUGUGGCUAGGGUCCGGUAGAGGAGAGUGGAAUUCCCGGUGUAGCGGUGAAAUGCGCAGAUAUCGGGAGGAACACCAGUAGCGAAGGCGGCUCUCUGGGCCGGUACCGACGCUGAGGAGCGAAAGCUAGGGGAGCAAACAGGAUUAGAUACCCUGGUAGUCCUAGCCGUAAACGUUGGGCACUAGGUGUGGCGGAUUCAUUGACAUCUGCCGUGCCGAAGCUAACGCAUUAAGUGCCCCGCCUGGGGAGUACGG
rnacentral:rRNA from 1 species